rnacentral:misc_RNA from 1 species
UUAACUAUUAUAUAGUACUCAGACGACACUGUAAUUCAGAAUUUGGGGUUCUCUGGCGAGCGCGCACCAGCCGAAGCCGGUAGCCCGAAGGCGGCUCGCCAAAGCAACAAAGGUAUGUAUAACAAAGGGUGGGAGGUCUACCCCGAAGGGCAUGAACUCUGUAAUGAUCCUUCCGCAGGUUCACCUACGGAAA